rnacentral:rRNA from 1 species
AUGCUACCGGGCGACCGGAUGCGGAUCUCGAAAGCCUGUCCCAGUUCGGACUGGAGUCUGCAACCCGACUCCACGAAGUUGGAUUCGCUAGUAAUCGCGCAUCAGCCAUGGCGCGGUGAAUACGUUCCCGGGCCUUGUACACACCGCCCGUCAAGCCAUGGGAGCCGGGGGCGCCUGAAGUCCGGGACCGCGAGGACCGGCCUAGGGCGAAACUGGUAACUGGGGCUAAGUCGUAACAAGGUAGC